AACAAAGCAUACAAUGGAUGCCUUGGCAUAAAUGAACGAUGAAGGACGUAGAGGGCUACGAUAAGCCUCGGGGAGCUGCCGUCAAGCUUUGAUCCGGGGAUUUCCGAAUGGGGUAACCCGCUCAUCUUGAGCAUCCUGUUGUGAAUACAUAGCAACAGGAAGAAGACCUGCUGAACUGAAACAUCUAAGUAGGCAGAGGAAAAGAAAACGAAUGUGAUUCCCUAAGUAGCGGCGAGCGAAAUGGGAAGAGCCUAAACCACAGAGCUUGCUCUGUGGGGUUGUAGGGCUGGUUGUCGGACCACCGAUGGUAGUUGAACGACUUGGAAUAGUCGGCCAUAGAGCAUGAAAGCUGUGUAAACGAAACCAAAAGUGGCCAAAACCGUGUACCUGAGUACCACGAGACACGCGAAAUCUUGUGGGAAGCUACCCAGACCAUUGGGUAAGGCUAAAUAUCAUUUAUGACCGAUAGUGAACUAGUACCGUGAGGGAAAGGUGAAAAGCAGUCCGGAAGGACAAUGAAAUAGUACCUGAAAUUGUAUGCUGUCAAGCAGUGGAAGUCCCGAUUUAUCGUGGAUAACCGCGUGCCUAUUGAAGAAUGAACCGGUGAGUAAUCGUAAGCUGCUUUUAGGUUAAGGGCCUCAAGGUCCGAAGCCUUAGUGAAAGCGAGCGUUAAUAGCGCUAUUUUGUAGCUUAUGGUUGACCCGAAACCAAGUGAGCUAACCAUGAACAGGGUGAAGCUUUGAGAAAUCGAAGUGGAGGCCCGAACCCGUGUCUGUUGCAAUAGGCUGGGAUGAUUUGUGGUUAGAGGUGAUAUACCAAACGAACUUGGAGAUAGCUGGUUCUCCCCGAAAUAUAUUUAGGUAUAGCCUUCGUUAAUUCGCAACUAGGGGUAGAGCACUGGAUGGAUCGCUCCGGCGUAAGCCGGUGCAUUCAAUCAAACUCCGAAUACUAGUUGUUUUAUGCGAGGAGUCAGACCGACUCGGCUAAGCGAGCCUGGUCUAAAGGGAAACAACCCAGACUUAAAGCUAAGGUCCCUAAAUUCUAGCUAAGUGUUAAAGGAAGUUUAGUCGCUUUGACAACCAGGAUGUUGGCUUAGAAGCAGCCACCAUUUAAAGAAAGCGUAACAGCUCGCUGGUCUAUUUGCCCUUGUGGCAAGAGCGAUUGAGCGCCGACAAUGUACCGGGGCUCAAGCUAGAUACCGAAGCUUAAGAUAGUCGAGCAAUCGACUAUGGUAGGGGAGCGUUCUGUUUGCAGUGAAGGUGAACCGUGAGGUUUGCUGGAGCGGAUAGAAGUGAGAAUGCCGGUAUGAGUAGCGAGAGUGGUGUGAGAAUCACCACCACCGAAUACCCAAGGUUUCCUACGCAACGUUGAUCGGCGUAGGGUUAGUCGAUCCUAAGGCGAGGCCAGAUGGCGUAGUCGAUGGAAGAAUCCGUCAAAAUUCGGAUACAGACUAAAUCUGAUAAAGACACAAAGGGUGGACAAAGUUGGAUACUCCGAGCCUCGAAAUGAUACGGGGUUUAAGUAGCGAAGAAGUGUAGAUUGGUAAAUCCGUCUAUGCGUUUAUUCAAGCUACGAAUAAGAGUUGGGGUCGCAAGAUUCUAGCGAUUUGGAAGAUUUCAGUUUUCGAGAAAAAGCUCGUUGUGGAGAUUUAGUUUAUCGUACCGCAAACCGACACAGGUGGGUAGGUCGAGUAGACCAAGGUGGACGAGAGAAUGUACUUUAAGGAACUCGGCAAAAUAGCUGGACGUAAGUUUGACAAGAUGUCCUGAUCGAGCAAUCGAUCCUCAGUUAAAGACGCUAAGCGACUGUUUAACAAAAACACAGGUCUCUGCAAAACCGAAAGGUGACGUAUAGGGGCUGACGCCUGCCCAGUGCUCGUAGGUUAACUAUUGGAGGUUCACGCUUCUGAUAUAAGCCCGAGUGAACGGCAGCAGUAACUAUAACUGUUCUAUGGUAGCGAAAUUCCUUGUCGGGUAAGUUCCGACCCGCACGAAAGGCUGAACGACUUAGCGACUGUCUCAAAGUACAACUCGGCGAAAUUGCAAUGGCUGUGAAGAUGCGGCCUAGUCUUGCCAGGACAAAAAGACCCCGUGGAGCUUUACUACAACUUGGCAUUGUCUUGUGCCAUCGAAAUGUGUAGCGUAGGAGGGAGCGUAAGCGCCAAUGAAACACCUCUCUUUUGACAGUACAAGACUAACCGAUCUACCCCAUAAAAAACGGGUAUCGGGACAUUGUCUGGUGGGUAGUUUGACUGGGGCGGUCGCCUCCAAAAACAUAACGGAGGCGUACUAAGGUCGGCUCAGCACGGAUGGAAAUCGUGCGCAGAGUGUAAAGGCAUAAGCCGGCUUUACUGUGAGACGUACAUGUCGAGCAGUUGCGAAAGCAGGUCUUAGUGAUCCUACGGUUCCUCAUGGGAGGGCCGUGGCUUAACGGACAAAAGCUACCCCGGGGAUAACAGGCUGAUCUUACCCAAGAGUUCAUAUCGACGGUAAGGUUUGGCACCUCGAUGUCGGCUCAUCGUAUCCUCCCGCUGAAGUAGGCGGGAAGGGUUGGGCUGUUCGCCCAUUAAAACGGUACGCGAGCUGGGUUCAGAACGUCGUGAGACAGUUGAGUGUGUAAGACAUUUCACACUGACAAGAGUUAAAACGAGCUGUCGAUCUCCAACACGUUUUGAGGAAAAAGAGGAGCCUGUUUAAUAACAUGGAGAACUCACUUGAAACAAGUGGGUAUAAAUCUAGCUAUAUGCUGGAAAAUCUUGUUAAUAGUGCUCUACUAGUAUACAAUCAUGUUACUAGUAACAAUGAGUACUCAUUCGCUCACAAGGCGGAGCAAGACAA
rnacentral:rRNA from 1 species